rnacentral:rRNA from 1 species
UCCGCAGGCGGUCUUUUAAGUCAGAGGUGAAAUCCUACAGCUCAACUGUAGAACGGCCUUUGAUACUGAAAGACUUGAGUUAUUAUGAAGUGGUUAGAAUGUGUGGUGUAGCGGUGAAAUGCAUAGAUAUCACACAGAAUACCGAUUGCGAAGGCAGAUCACUAAUAAUAUACUGACGCUCAUGGACGAAAGCGUGGGGAGCGAACAGGAUUAGAUACCCUGGUAGUCCACGCCGUAAACGAUGGAUACUAGCUGUUCGUCUAACAUUGGUUAGAUGAGUGGCUAAGCGAAAGUGAUAAGUAUCCCACCUGGGGAGUACGGUCGCAAGACUGAAACUCAAAGGAAUUGACGGGGGCCCGCACAAGCGGUGGAGCAUGUGGUUUAAUUCGAUGA